rnacentral:rRNA from 1 species
AUUGAACGCUGGCGGCAUGCCUUACACAUGCAAGUCGAACGGCAGCACGGGAGCAAUCCUGGUGGCGAGUGGCGAACGGGUGAGUAAUAUAUCGGAACGUGCCCAGUGAUGGGGGAUAGCCCGGCGAAAGCCGGAUUAAUACCGCAUACGACCUACGGGUGAAAGCAGGGGAUCGCAAGACCUUGCGUCAUUGGAGCGGCCGAUAUCAGAUUAGCUUGNGGUGGGGUAAAGCCUACCAAGGCGACGAUCUGUAGCUGGUCUGAGAGGACGACCAGCCACACUGGGACUGAGACACGGCCCAGACUCCUACGGGAGGCAGCAGUGGGGAAUUUUGGACAAUGGGCGCAAGCCUGAUCCAGCCAUGCCGCGUGCGGGAAGAAGGCCUGGUU